rnacentral:rRNA from 1 species
UGUUAGUGGAAGCGUCUGGAAAGGCGCGCGAUACAGGGUGACAGCCCCGUACACAAAAAUGCACAUACUGUGAGCUCGAUGAGUAGGGCGGGACACGUGGUAUCCUGUCUGAAUAUGGGGGGACCAUCCUCCAAGGCUAAAUACUCCUGACUGACCGAUAGUGAACCAGUACCGUGAGGGAAAGGCGAAAAGAACCCCGGCGAGGGGAGUGAAAAAGAACCUGAAACCGUGUACGUACAAGCAGUGGGAGCACGCUUCGGCGUGUGACUGCGUACCUUUUGUAUAAUGGGUCAGCGACUUAUAUUCUGUAGCAAGGUUAACCGAAUAGGGGAGCCGAAGGGAAACCGAGUCUUAACUGGGCGUUAAGUUGCAGGGUAUAGACCCGAAACCCGGUGAUCUAGCCAUGGGCAGGUUGAAGGUUGGGUAACACUAACUGGAGGACCGAACCGACUAAUGUUGAAAAAUUAGCGGAUGACUUGUGGCUGGGGGUGAAAGGCCAAUCAAACCGGGAGAUAGCUGGUUCUCCCCGAAAGCUAUUUAGGUAGCGCCUCGUGAAUUCAUCUCCGGGGGUAGAGCACUGUUUCGGCAAGGGGGUCAUCCCGACUUACCAACCCGAUGCAAACUGCGAAUACCGGAGAAUGUUAUCACGGGAGACACACGGCGGGUGCUAACGUCCGUCGUGAAGAGGGAAACAACCCAGACCGCCAGCUAAGGUCCCAAAGUCAUGGUUAAGUGGGAAACGAUGUGGGAAGGCCCAGACAGCCAGGAUGUUGGCUUAGAAGCAGCCAUCAUUUAAAGAAAGCGUAAUAGCUCACUGGUCGAGUCGGCCUGCGCGGAAGAUGUAACGGGGCUAAACCAUGCACCGAAGCUGCGGCAGCGACACUAUGUGUUGUUGGGUAGGGGAGCGUUCUGUAAGCCUGUGAAGGUGUACUGUGAGGUAUGCUGGAGGUAUCAGAAGUGCGAAUGCUGACAUAAGUAACGAUAAAGCGGGUGAAAAGCCCGCUCGCCGGAAGACCAAGGGUUCCUGUCCAACGUUAAUCGGGGCAGGGUGAGUCGACCCCUAAGGCGAGGCCGAAAGGCGUAGUCGAUGGGAAACAGGUUAAUAUUCCUGUACUUGGUGUUACUGCGAAGGGGGGACGGAGAAGGCUAUGUUGGCCGGGCGACGGUUGUCCCGGUUUAAGCGUGUAGGCUGGUUUUCCAGGCAAAUCCGGAAAAUCAAGGCUGAGGCGUGAUGACGAGGCACUACGGUGCUGAAGCAACAAAUGCCCUGCUUCCAGGAAAAGCCUCUAAGCAUCAGGUAACAUCAAAUCGUACCCCAAACCGACACAGGUGGUCAGGUAGAGAAUACCAAGGCGCUUGAGAGAACUCGGGUGAAGGAACUAGGCAAAAUGGUGCCGUAACUUCGGGAGAAGGCACGCUGAUAUGUAGGUGAAGCGACUUGCUCGUGGAGCUGAAAUCAGUCGAAGAUACCAGCUGGCUGCAACUGUUUAUUAAAAACACAGCACUGUGCAAACACGAAAGUGGACGUAUACGGUGUGACGCCUGCCCGGUGCCGGAAGGUUAAUUGAUGGGG